AACGAACGCUGGCGGCAUGCCUAACGCAUGCAAGUCGAACGAGACCUUCGGGUCUAGUGGCGCACGGGUGCGUAACGCGUGGGAACCUGCCCUUAGGUUCGGAAUAACUCCCCGAAAGGGGUGCUAAUACCGGAUAAUGUCUUCGGACCAAAGAUUUAUCGCCUUUGGAUGGGCCCGCGUUGGAUUAGCUAGUUGGUAGGGUAAAAGCCUACCAAGGCGACGAUGCAUAGCUGGUCUGAGAGGAUGAUCAGCCACACUGGGACUGAGACACGGCCCAGACUGCGACGGGACGGAGCAGUAGGGAGUAUUGGACAAGGGGCGAAAGCGUGAUGCAGCAAUGCGGCGUGUGAGAGGAAGGCGGUAGUGUUGUAAAGCUCUUUUAGCCGGGAGGAUACUGACAGUACCGGGAGAAUAAGCUCCGGCUAACUACGUG
rnacentral:rRNA from 1 species